rnacentral:rRNA from 1 species
UACGAAGGGGGCUAGGCGUUGCUCGGAAUCAUUGGCGUAAAGAGCGUGUAGGCGGCCCGGUAAGUCCGCUGUAAAAGUCAAAGGCUCAACCUUUGAAUGUCAGUGGAUACUGCCGGGCUAGAGUCCGGAAGAGGCGAGUGGAACUCCUGGUGUAGCGGUGGAAUGCGCAGAUAUCAGGAAGAACACCAACGGCGAAGGCAGCUCGCUGGGACGGUACUGACGCUGAGACGCGAAAGCGUGGGGAGCGAACAGG